GUGAGCCCGGAGAUGAGAUCUGAGACAAGGUCUCCAGGCNNNACGGGGCGCAGCAGUCGCGAAACUUCUGCAAUACACGAAAGUGUGACAGGGCUAUCCCGAGUGCUAUCUGGUGAGGAAGGCUUGUACCCAGUGUAGAAAGCUGAGAGAAUAAGGAGAGGGUCAGACGGGUGUCAGCCGCCGCGGUAAUACCAGCUCUCCGAGUGGUGUGGAUGUUUAUUGGGCCUAAAGCAUCCGUAGCUGGUUGGACAAGUCCCUUGUUAAAUCGACCGAUUCAAUCGUUGGUGUUCGGGGGAUACUGUUCGGCUAGGGGACGGGAGAGGCCGACGGUAUUCUCGGGGUAGGGGUGAAAUCCUAUAAUCCCGGGAAGACCACCAGUGGCGAAGGCUUUCGGCUAGAACGCGCCCAACGGUGAGGGAUGAAAGCUGGGGGAGCGAACCGGAUUAGAUACCCGGGUAGUCCCAGCUGUAAACGAUGCAGGCUUGGUGUUUGGUCGGCCACGUGCCGCUCUAAUGCC
rnacentral:rRNA from 1 species